rnacentral:rRNA from 1 species
UACGUAGGGGGCAAGCGUUGUCCGGAAUUAUUGGGCGUAAAGAGCGUGUAGGCGGUCCGGUAAGUCCGCUGUGAAAGUCCAGGGCUCAACCCUGGAAUGCCGGUGGAUACUGCCGGGCUGAGAUGCCGGAAGAGGCGAGUGGAAUUCCUGGUGUAGCGGUGAAAUGCGUCGAUAUCAGGAGGAACACCUGUGGUGUAGACGGCUCUCUGGACCGCAACUGACGCUGAGACACGAAAGCGUGGGUAGCAAACAGG